UUUCUUUCUUUCUUUCUUUCUUUCUUUCUUUCUUUCUUUCUUUCUUUCUUUCUUUCUUUUUCUUUUGAGACAGGGUUUCUCUGUCUGUCUUUUCUGUUUCUUUGCAGAUAGAGAUAUCUUGCUUCUUAGUUAUAGGCAACACAUGAACUAGACCUCAAGUGAGCCUUUUUUUUUUUUUUAAAGAGUAGAUGUAGUUGAUUAAGUUAAACUUGAAACUGUGUUUGCUAUGAGGCCUCAUUGCAGUUCCAUUCCAAACAUGUUUCUAGUUUGUUGUUGGCCCUCUUCCCUCAGGAGUUUUGUAUUUAAUCUUAUCAAUUCAGCAGCUGAAGGCAUCCCCUGAGUUUGAACCUGAGACCCACAUGCUGGACAAGAGACAGACUUCUAGAAGUUGUUCUGCCAGUCAUAGACAUGACUUGACACAUGCACACAAUAGUAAAUAAGAAUGUAAAAACAAAUCCCUUGGCUUUCUGAUUUUUUUUUUUCUUUUCUGUAAAAUAAAUACUGAUAACUUCUUUUUGUGGGAUGUGGGGUGGGAGUGGAGGUCAGAACACUAGUGCAAGAUCAAAAGUAGGCAAAGCAAGACCUGUGUUUACAGCCAUCUACCCUUGCUCGCUGGUUCUCUCCUGCUUGACCUCUGACCUAGCUCUGUCUUUUCAUCAGAAUGAAGGGAGGGGCAGUUUGAAAACUGGACUUCUCCAGAAGAAAAGGAAAAAUCUAGCCUGGUAGUGAAGUACUGGCCAGUUAUCUCUGAGGCCACUCUGGGCUCAAUCCCCAGUGUGACAGGAAAAUAGAAAAAGCAGGGGCGACUCAGUACCUACGGAAGAGGGGCACGUUUCUAGCUGUACAUACAUGAUGACGAGCAGAGAUCACAGAAUAGAAUCAGCAGGUAUUAGAAGGGAACAUUUGUGGGACUGCUGUAUGUAGCAAGAGUGGCUUUUACAGAGAAUGCUGCUUAGUAAUAAGGUUUACCCCUCCCCCCUCUCUCUGGCAGGUCCUGCUAUUGUAACCUUGGUUGUCCUAGAUAGAACUCUAUGGAGUUCAGCUAGCCUCCGUUCUGUGACUAGCUCCCUGCUGCAGUCCUUGUGCUGAGAUCACAGGUGUGAGUUACCAGGCCUGGUGUCACAGUUCUUCAGAGUUUUAAAACAUGUGUGUUUCUAGAAAAAGAAGCUAAGGAAGGCUGUGAACCACCUAUGUAGGUAUUGUGACUCAAACCUGGAUCUUUUUAUAAGAGUAACAAGUGGUUUUAACUACUGAGCCGUAUCUGUAGCCCCAUUUCUUCAGAAUUUUUAAGUCCAUGUUUCUUUUGGUUGUUGUUUUUUGUUGGUGAUGGUGAUUUGUGCUUUUGAGGGAGUGUUGUGCUAUGUGUUCUGGGUAGUGUCCACUUGUCAUCCUGCCUCAGUCUCAGGUGCUGGUGUUACAGAUGUGCACCUUUAUGGUCAACAGUGUUAGUUUCUUCCAUUGGAUAAUGACUUAAAAAUCUCUGAAGGAUUUUAAACCAGUGAAUGCUUAUCUGUAAUGUGAUAUAAUAGUUUAUUAUUCCCUGCUAUGUUACAUGACCAAGCAGGUAGCACUCUGCAAAGGUCCCACACAGUGCCUAUUAACUGAUUUGGAUGCUCUAAGUAGAGCCCCCUCUUUUAAUUUUAGCCCAUCUGUAGACUUAACUCAAUCACUAGUUUAACUACGUCUGUCCUAAGACACGAAGAGUAAGUUACAACUUACGUUUCUGUCUCCUGCCGUUCUCUUCUUCAUAGAAGAGAGAAGGUGGGGUGGGUUGUGGAGCAGGGUGGGGUGGUUGGAGGGGUAGCGGACUUUUGGGAUAGCAUUUGAACUGCAAAUGAAGAAAAUAUCU
rnacentral:lncRNA from 1 species